rnacentral:lncRNA from 7 species
AUCUCUUUCUCAAGAUCCCUCUUUUGUGAAGCUUUUCAUUGCAAGCUUAAAUCUCCAGAUAUGGUGGUAACAGAACAAACACAGCCAUUGGGUGCAGGUUGUGAUAAAGACCAAAUUCUGCAGAGCUUUGUACACGUGGGUCUGGAUUCUGCAAAACUGCUUUGGGAAGCUUUGAAGGCAAGUACAAAAGAACAAUACUGCUGCUCCCUAGUGCUAUGAUCUGCAAGGAAUGAAGGCCAAGAGAAACAACUUUCAUGAGGUGGGAAAUGGUUUGAAAGGUUUCAGCAACAGUCUUGAGAAUGAUCUGCAGAAGUACAGAAAGGGCUGCUCAGAAGAUGGCAGCUGAGGGGCAGUCUGAUAGAAUGGUGCCUGACAUGGAAAUGCAUACAAAGAAAAUGUGGGCCAUUGAAUUCCUCCAUGCAGAAAAAAAUGGCACCCACUGACAUUCAUUGCUGCUUGAUGAAUGUUUAUAGAGACUGAAAAUGGAUAUGAGCACAGUGAGGCAGUGGGUGCUGUUUCAACAGUGGUGACAGUGGGUCACCUUUGCUGGUACAGAUUUUGACAAGCACAGCAUGGAGACUCUUGUUCAUUGCUGGCAAAAAUGCAUAGUUAAUGGUGGUGACUGUUGAAAAAUAGUGAUGUGUAACUGAGAAAUUGGUGUAUCCAUUAAUGUUCUCUUUGUAUCUGUUGUAUACCUACAUAUAAUAACAAACUAUAGUGGAGAUACAACUUCCAAGUACAUCCCAAGCACAUUUUUUUCUGUUUGAAAACUGAAUAGAUUGUCUAACAUACAUUUUUGUCUCUAAAAUAGCAUUUUAGCUUGCCAGAAUAGUCAUGCUUCUUACAAACCUUUUCCGGUGUAAAACAGAACUGAAAUCUUCAUGGAAACAAUCUUAAAUAAAAUACCAUUCUGAAAUACUUCAUUCGCUC